CGCCAAAUCGGAAAAAAAAGGAAAUCGUCGCCCAGACCGCCCGCGCCUCCUCCUCCUACGCCUUCUCCGCCUUCUGCCACCGCGCCUCCUCCUCCUCCUUCCGCCGCCUCGCCUCCUCCCCACCUCCCCUCGCCGCCUCCUGCGCGCGCCCGCAGGACAGCCGGCCGCCGCCGCCGGCUCCGACUGCACGCCCGCUGGAACCACGCGCCCUACCCCGCAGCCUCCUUGUGCACGCCCGCCGGUUCCCCACUCCCUCCUCCACCUCUUCACAAUCUCAUCCCGUUCGCCCUGCCGCAUGGAGCCGCCGCUGUCUACUCCUCGCGCCGUCGCCGCCGUUUGCCCUUCGCGCCACCGCCGCCGACUUGCGCGCGCCCGCCGGAGCCACCUCGCCCUACCCCGGCUGUUCGGCCUCUUGCUUCCCUGCUCACACUGGGACAGAGAGGAAGGAGAGACGGGAUCUGCCCACCCUGCCGCACCGCCUCCUCGCGCGCGGGCCGAACAGCCGGUGUCCUUAGUUCCCUACUCGCGACGCGAUGGAGAGGAAGGAGAGGGGGGAUCUAUUUGCGCCGACACCGUCUCGCCUGCUCCUUCAGCUCCGUCCUGCCCUCGCCGCCUUGCCGUACCACGCCAUAGUCCACUGGAAUGACCUCGCUCGCUGAAGACGACAUGACGACAUCCCUCUAAAGUCUAAACCAGGGAUGAGCUAAAUAUAUUUGUCUCAGAUAAAUGAUUUCUACCAGUUCUCAAAUUAGAUGGAUGGCUGCGGCAAUCUCAGUUUUGUUAGUAUAAGCUCUUCAAGCCUUUCAACGCUAUGGCUAUCAGAUCUUUCUUCCCUAACAAAAUUGAUAACACAACCUGCUACUACAAGUAUUUUCAGUUAAAUUGAUUAACCAUUGCAAGUUCAUUGAGAUAUUAAUUUCUUGCAGGUCAUAAACUGUCCAGAUUUGAAUGAACUCAGUGAGAUUUACCUAUCUGAUUAAUCUGAUGGAUAAUCUAGGUCGUCAUGCUCAAAUUUGAGAAGCGCGCACAUAUCCUCAAUUCACUAAACUGCCUUUGAUCUUUCUCAACUCCAAGUAUUGUUUCUGAUUUUACUUUUAUAUGUUCAAAUUGACUUGAUAUAGGUUACAUAUUUUUACCCAGAUAAUUUCAAAAUCAGAACCGACCACCAAAAUGUUUAUACAUCCGUUGAUUAUUUUUUUUGUAGUAAGGACUGCUGAUAUAUUUUGUCUUAGUCUACAUUGGAGAACAAUGUUGGUGGCUCCACACGAGCAGUAGCAGAAGGACUUCCGCAAGGUGCACCUCUCCAUGCUUCCUCUGCAGCGCAGGAGCAGUUCAAGAGGCUCUUCCCACCAGCACGCUGGGCCUGAUGAUCAAUGCCAACCUCACGUCCUCACCGUGCCCUUCUAUCACCAGCUUGUCAGCCGAUCAGAGGUUGUGGAGGUUGAGGUCAAUGGACUGAGGCAAAAGAGUAGUGCUGAUAAACGAAUGCAGGUAGUUGGAGAUGUUUAUCUUGAUGAAUCCAUCUCCAUGAAAGCUUAUCUCUUGGUUUGUUAGUCAACUUCACAUCACCUGACUCAUCGAUUUCAUCAACUUCAUUUGUCUUUAGUGUCGAUUUGAUAAACGACGUUUGUCUGUAUCCGCUGCAUUGUUGCUGCUAAUAUUAUCGCCUCCUUACUCUACUGCGAUAGAUUGGGUGGUGGUUUCUUCCCUACGACUGCCAUUGAAAUUUGGAAAUCUACCAGGCUCCUAUUUAUUCUGGUCAUGAGAGGGAGGAGAAAACAUCUCUUAUCGCCCAUUCGCUCUCCGGUUGGUCUGCCAUCAUAGCCUCUGGUGAGUCAAGCUAUCAUCAUUCCUCUCUGAUUCAUUUAUAUUCCUUACAAAAUUUGACGUGUUUUUUCUGCAUGGUGCCCUGCCUGCAUGGUGUAAGUCUAAAUGGUUUGUUGGGCUUGAGAUUUGGAUCGAUCCUAGCUUUUAAAUAAGUAGCUUCAAAAAUUUAAAGGUACCUUAUUUUCACCAGUUAGGCAUUGUUAAUAGAAUCUAAAUUUAAAAUUGCUAAUGAAACGCAUGAGAGAAAUUUUUCGUUUGUAGUUAGAUCUGUAGAUGCUUGCAUUAUUAUAUAGAUAAUGAUCGCUGAAAACUGCUUAUUUUUUGGUAGAAUAUUUCUAUGACUACCUCAAAAGAUAAUAAACUUAUCCGAUUGUAAUUGAGCCAAAUACAUAAUGAACUGAUUUUGUUGCUUAAUGAGCCAAAAGCACUAUUUGAUCUCUACAGAUUUUUUUCCUCCAAUCCUCUACUGCAACCUCUUUAUUCUGUUGCGGUGUAUAAUCUAUGCAUAAUAUGUACUAACUUUAUGCUUCUCGAGUUGAACCUACCCAGCAAUUAAAUUUUGCCCUUUUACAGUCUUAUGUUGUAUGACACAGACUCAUUCAAAUAAAAAAAUCUAUCUCGCCCUGUGACCUGUUCUGGUGCCAAAAUCAAGGAUAGUAAGGGUGUAAUGAAGUGAUGAUAUACCAUUCAGUCCGGGACCUCAUGGUGGUGCGCAAUAGAUAUGAUUAAUACAUAUGGCAUAAUAGUGUUUGUACUUAUCUUUCCAUUGGAAUUUUUCUAUGUAGAUCAUCAUGCCCAAUCAUGUUGUUACAAAUCUCAAAUGACAGAAUAAUGUCUAUCUAUACAUAAUAAAGUAACUUCAAAUGCAGCACAA